GAAACUCCCUAGCAACCUAGCUGCAGGAAUGACUCUGUGCACAGAUCAAGAAAGGAGAAGCCACGGGAGCUGCAGCACAAAAUGGAUUAAGACAUCUCUCCUGGUACUUAUGCUUUCUUGGAGGAGGAGGUAAUAUGGGUCUGACCUUAAGAAAAUAGGACCUUCCAUUUUCUAGCUCCUGGAACACUUCCACUUAGCACCCAGCCAUCAGACUGUGUAUGAGGAGAGGAACUGAGACCUGCAGACCAAUAACCUAAGCUGAACUCGCAGCUGAAAGCUAACCCACCUCUAAUGGACUCUCCACUCAAAAUCCAGAUUAGUGAACCAAAUAUAUGACUGUUGUUUUUAAGCCACUAUGUUUUAGCAUGGUAUGUUACACACCAAUAGAUAACUAAAACUGUUCUCUCACCAUCUCAACAUCCUCUUCAUAUUUUCUAAAUAAUAAAAUAUGCCAUUUGAUUUUACAAGAAACAAAUGUUAGAUGGCAGGGCUGAAGUUAAAUGGGAACCUAAUGUUCACAACGACUAACAGAUUUGUAAAUUGAGCUUAUAUGUCUACAUCAAAGUUCUCAAUCUUUAUUUAUGCUAUAGUUUAAAGCAUGACUAUACUUUUCAGCUGACUCUCUUGAAAAGUGGAGUAUAAUUAAUAUAUUGAUACCUGGAUAUAUUAUAUUUUAGUUCAUGAUUCCAUUUAGUCCUGAAAAAUAGAAGGCAUUGUCAUUUUGUAGACAUCUCCUUGAUAUAUUUGUGUUAGAGUUAACUCAAUUUUUUAAAUGUAAGAUUUAACUCUAUGACACUAAUCACCUGUCAUCAGUCACUGACUAUAGUUCAAUAUCAUUUGAGUCACCAAGGCUAAGAUAUACCAGAUAACUGUUUCAGUACAGGUGAUUUGCAUUUAUCAUCUAAGAGCUUAUAAGAACCUCCUCUCACUAAAAUAUCAGAGGUCUAACUUUUACCCCCUUCCUCACAUCAAAAGCAUAAAACGCUGAGAUAUAUAAAGAGGAGAUUUCAGGGAGUUUGAGAACUUACUCAAAUGAUGUAACUCAUUUGACAAAUGACUUGCUUCAUGCAUCUUUUAGAUAGCUAAGUCCAAUUAGCUAAAAUUAUAGUUGAAUUGAAUAUGUAAAUAUCUAUAAAGUUGGCCUAAUUAGAUCCAUAGGGUGGUGUAGCAUCUGUGUUUAAAGCCCAGCAAUUGUGAAGAGGUUUUGGUUGCAAGCUUAGGGGAGGCUGUGAAGACUGGCAAGUCUAAGUCCUCCCGUGGAAUCUGAGAUUUCACAGGUAGUAUCUGAGGAUGGGUGUGAGAUUACUGCUCAAGCCAGAAAGAUUAACAGCUGCCUCAAUGGGAAUAAGAGUCACUAGGAAAUUUGAUUCUAUCAUUCCUGAAUCCAAGGUGGCGUUAACAAGCUUAUUAUGUAAGAAAGCAGCCUCUGUUACUAAUCUAAGCUGUAUCUGUUUUUCUGCUUACGCCUAUGAACCAGAACAUAAGAAGUAGUAGAACAAAUGAUAUGAAUCUACAAAUUAUGCCACGUAUUUUAAUUCUUCACUAUUUAAAUAAUUAAAAACUAAGUUUUCUUCUAAAUGUGUCACAUAGUAUAGAUUUUCUAGGGUGCACUUAAGAAAUUUGGUGUACUCAAGAUGAUCAACCUGUCUCAAAAUAAACUUAGAUUUUUUGAAGACUCUUCUGUUAAAUUGGACUUUGACCAUCACUGACACUUAUUUUGACCUUAUAAUACCAUAAAUAUGUACCCUUGAUCAAGACUCCAGCUGAUAGACCCUUAGCAUAGAUACAUAAAAAUAAUAAACCUUAUCUGAACAUCUGUUUUAAGUCAGCUUUUGCUGUGGAAGCUGUUACAAUUACAAAUUAUUUCCAUUUGAUUUCACUGAAAUUCAAUUAACUUCGAGCAAAAAUUAGCAACACUAAUUUUUAAAUAAGGAUGGGGUGAAGGUGAUAGUUAUUGUGGAGCAUUGAUAUGAUAGAAGCAGUGAGGGUAGAAAAUGUGUGAACGUUAAAUGCCUUUAUUACUCAUUUUACAUUUCAUCAGGUAUCAGAUGGCAUGAAAAUACGCUGUCUUGGUCUAUUUUCUUGCUACCACCCCUAAGAUAUCACAUACUUGG
rnacentral:lncRNA from 1 species